rnacentral:rRNA from 1 species
CCUACGGGAGGCUGCAGUGGGGAAUAUUGGACAAUGGGCGAAAGCCUGAUCCAGCCAUGCCGCGUGUGUGAAGAAGGCCUUCGGGUUGUAAAGCACUUUCAGUGGGGAAGAAAGCCUUGGGGCUAAUACCCUCGAGGAAGGACAUCACCCACAGAAGAAGCACCGGCUAACUCCGUGCCAGCAGCCGCGGUAAUACGGAGGGUGCGAGCGUUAAUCGGAAUUACUGGGCGUAAAGCGCGCGUAGGCGGUCUGAUAAGCCGGUUGUGAAAGCCCCGGGCUCAACCUGGGAACGGCAUCCGGAACUGUCAGGCUAGAGUGCAGGAGAGGAAGGUAGAAUUCCCGGUGUAGCGGUGAAAUGCGUAGAGAUCGGGAGGAAUACCAGUGGCGAAGGCGGCCUUCUGGACUGACACUGACGCUGAGGUGCGAAAGCGUGGGUAGCAAACAGGAUUAGAUACCCUUGUCGUC